GGAUGUGAUGGGGAGCGAAAUUUAGUAGCGAAGUAGCUGAUUUCACACUGUCAAGAAAAGUCUCUAUCGAGGUUAAAGGUACCCGUACCGCAAACCGACACAGGGGGGUGAGGAGAGUAUCCUAAGGCCAGCGAGAGAACUGUUGUUAAGGAACUCGGCAAAAUGACCCCGUAACGUAGGGAUAAGGGGUGCCACCAUCAGGUGGCCGCAGAGAAUAGGCCCAAGCGACUGUUUACCAAAAACAUAGGUUUCUGCUAAGUCGCAAGACGAUGUAUAGGAGCUGACGCCUGCCCGGUGCUGGAAGGUUAAGGGGAUCUGUUAGAGCAAUCGAAGCAGUGAACUUAAGCC
rnacentral:rRNA from 1 species